rnacentral:rRNA from 1 species
AUUGAACGCUGGCGGCAGGCCUAACACAUGCAAGUCGAACGCGUGGCGGACGGGUGAGUAAUGUCUGGGAAACUGCCUGAUGGAGGGGGAUAACUACUGGAAACGGUAGCUAAUACCGCAUACCAUCGGAUGUGCCCAGAUGGGAGUAGCCAGUAGGUGGGGUAAAGGCUUACCUAGGCGACGAUCCCUAGCUGGUCUGAGAGGAUGAACAGCCACACUGGAACUGAGACACGGUCCAGACUCCUACGGGAGGCAGCAGUAGGGAAUAUUGCACAAUGGGCGCAAGCCUGAUGCAGCCACGCCGCGUGAAUGAAGAAGGCCUUCGGGUUGUAAAGUACUGUCAGCGGGGAGGCGGUAUCUGCAGAAGAAGCACCGGCUAACUACGUGCCAGCAGCCGCGGUAAUUC